rnacentral:rRNA from 1 species
CCUACGGGAGGCAGCAGUGGGGAAUUUUGGACAAUGGGGGAAACCCUGAUCCAGCCAUGCCGCGUGCGGGAAGAAGGCCUUCGGGUUGUAAACCGCUUUUGGCAGGAACGAAACGGCGCGCGCCAAUACCGCGCGCUAAUGACGGUACCUGCAGAAUAAGCACCGGCUAACUACGUGCCAGCAGCCGCGGUAAUACGUAGGGUGCAAGCGUUAAUCGGAAUUACUGGGCGUAAAGCGUACGCAGGCGGCUGUGCAAGACAGGUGUGAAAUCCCCGGGCCCAACCUGGGAACUGCAUUUGUGACUGCAUAGCUAGAGUCCGUAAGAGGGGGGUGGAAUUCCACGUGUAGCAGUGAAAUGCGUAGAGAUGUGGAGGAACACCGAUGGCGAAGGCAGCCCCCUGGGAUGAGACUGACGCUCAUGUACGAAAGCGUGGGGAGCAAACAGGAUUAGAUACCCUGGUAGUCCACGCCCUAAACGAUGUCGACUAGUUGUCGGGUCUUUACAGACUUGGUAACGCAGCUAACGCGUGAAGUCGACCGCCUGGGGAGUACGGUCGCAAGAUUAAAACUCAAAGGAAUUGACGG